ACGCGGUGAAUACGUUCCCGGGCCUUGUACACACCGCCCGUCAAGCCAUGAAAGCUGGGGGUACCUGAAGUACGUAACCGCAAGGAGCGUCCUAGGGUAAAACCGGUAAUUGGGGCU
rnacentral:rRNA from 1 species